rnacentral:tRNA from 5 species
GGGUGAUUAGCUCAGCUGGGAGAGCGCCACCCUUACAAGGUGGAUGUCGGCGGUUCGAUCCCGUCAUCACCCACCA